rnacentral:lncRNA from 1 species
CCUCGGGCUUAUUUUUUUGAAGCACCUCUACAUCGACGAUCGGCAUGACAAAUUCAAGGAGAUCUCAGUCUAGCCGGGGUCGCGCUAGGAGUGAUAUUCUUAUGAUGGUGUCCUCUUCAGUCGAACUGGAUGGUGCCUUAGAGAGUGUGGUUAGUUUGUGCUCGGGCUCUUUGAAAGAUGGUACAGGCCGGGCACUGUUGUUCUUGAUCCUCACCACGGUGGGUUGGCAAGGUGGCUCCAAUGACAAUACUCGAGGAG